rnacentral:rRNA from 1 species
GCAGGCUGAAACUCGCCUGCACGAAGUUGGAAUUGCUAGUAAUCGCGGAUCAGCAUGCCGCGGUGAAUACGUUCCCGAGUCUUGUACACCCCGCCCGUCACACCAUGGGAGCUGGUAACACCCGAAGUCAGUAGUCUAACCGCAAGGAGGACGCUGCCGAAGGUGGGAUUAGCGACUGGGGUGAAGUCGUAACAAGGUAGC